rnacentral:rRNA from 1 species
GAGCACGUAGGUGGGUUUGUAAGUCAGAUGUGAAAGCCUUCUGUUCAACGGACGAAUUGCAUCUGAAACUGCGAGUCUUGAGUGUAGGAGGGGAGAAUGGAACUUCUGGUGGAGCGGUGAAAUGCGUAGAUAUCAGAAGGAACGCCGGCGGCGAAAGCGAUUCUCUGGCCUAUUACUGACACUCAGUGUGCGAAAGCUAGGGGAGCAAACGGGAUUAGAUACCCCGGUAGUCCUAGCCGUAAACGAUGGGCACUAAGUAGAGGGGUUUU